CGUCACGAGCGCGCGGACUCGCUGUGGAGAUUGAGGAACCGCAACAGAGGAGAGAGCAUAUGUUGGACAUGAGCGUCGCCCUGUCAGUUACAGCUAGUCCCUUGAGCCACCGGCUGGAGCGGCCCUGUCUUUCUUGAGGCGGCCUUGCCACCCUCCCGCCUGCAGAACCGAGAUCUUACCCCCCUGGGAGUCCCACGCUGCCCUCGGGAUCAUUCUUCCCUGAACCUGCAAGUUCUGCAGGACCUUGUUCAAGAUGUUAACUCUUAGUUGUGACAGCUUAGCGUCUUAACUUGCCCGGCACCUUCUGUUGGCAAAUGUGAACCCUCAGACCCCAAGAGAGGAAAUAAUUUCUAAGGCAAAUUGGAACAAGCUGAGAUCUCUUCGGGGAUAUAGGACGGAGAAGACACUUUAUUAGGUAUCAGGAUAUCUGACUGUUCAUCUAUUGUGCCCUCUCUACGUGCUACUUCACAAAGUGUAUUUCUGACCAGCAGCAACUGCGUCUGCUCACCCUAGACCUACUCAAUCAGAAAUUCUGGGAAUGGGUCCCUUAUCAAAAGUAUCUGUGUUUUAACAAGCCCUGCAGGUGGUGCCACGCAC
rnacentral:lncRNA from 1 species